AUUCGCUAGUAAUCGCGCAUCAGCCACGGCGCGGUGAAUACGUUCCCGGGCCUUGUACACACCGCCCGUCAAGCCAUGGAAGCCGGGAGUGCCUGAAGUGCGUGACCGCAAGGAGCGUCCUAAGGCAAUACCGGUGACUGGGGCUAAGUCGUAACAAGGUAUC
rnacentral:rRNA from 1 species